ACGGAGGCAGCAGUGGGGAAUAUUGCACAAUGGGGGAAACCCUGAUGCAGCGACGCCGCGUGAGUGAAGAAGUAUUUCGGUAUGUAAAGCUCUAUCAGCAGGGAAGAUAAUGACGGUACCUGACUAAGAAGCACCGGCUAAAUACGUGCCAGCAGCCGCGGUAAUACGUAUGGUGCAAGCGUUAUCCGGAUUUACUGGGUGUAAAGGGAGCGUAGACGGCAUGGCAAGUCUGAAGUGAAAGCCUGGGGCUCAACCCCGGAACUGCUUUGGAAACUGUUAAGCUAGAGUGCAGGAGAGGUAAGUGGAAUUCCUAGUGUAGCGGUGAAAUGCGUAGAUAUUAGGAGGAACACCAGUGGCGAAGGCGGCUUACUGGACUGUAACUGACGUUGAGGCUCGAAAGCGUGGGGAGCAAACAGGAUUAGAUACCCUGGUA
rnacentral:rRNA from 1 species